UGGGGAAUAUUGCACAAUGGGCGCAAGCCUGAUGCAGCCAUGCCGCGUGUAUGAAGAAGGCCUUCGGGUUGUAAAGUACUUUCAGCGGGGAGGAAGGGAGUAAAGUUAAUACCUUUGCUCAUUGACGUUACCCGCAGAAGAAGCACCGGCUAACUCCGUGCCAGCAGCCGCGGUAAUACGGAGGGUGCAAGCGUUAAUCGGAAUUACUGGGCGUAAAGCGCACGCAGGCGGUUUGUUAAGUCAGAUGUGAAAUCCCCGGGCUCAACCUGGGAACUGCAUCUGAUACUGGCAAGCUUGAGUCUCGUAGAGGGGGGUAGAAUUCCAGGGGUAGCGGUGAAAUGCGGAGAGAUCUGGAGGAAUACCGGUGGCGAAGGCGGCCCCCUGGACGAAGACUGACGCUCAGGUGCGAAAGCGUGGGGAGCAAACAGG
rnacentral:rRNA from 1 species